AUACGUAGGGAGCGAGCGUUGUCCGGAAUUACUGGGUGUAAAGGGAGCGUAGGCGGGACGGCAAGUCAGAUGUGAAAUACAUAGGCUCAACCCAUGGGCUGCGUUUGAAACUGCUGUUCUUGAGUGAAGUAGAGGUAAGCGGAAUUCCUGGUGUAGCGGUUAAAUGCGUAGAUAUCAGGAGGAACACCGGUGGCGAAGGCGGCUUACUGGGCUUUUACUGACGCUGAGGCUCGAAAGCGUGGGGAGCAAACAGGAUUAGAUACCCUGGUAGUCCACGCUGUAAACGAUGAUCACUAGGUGUGGGGGGACUGACCCCUUCCGUGCCGCAGUUAACACAAUAAGUGAUCCACCUGGCGAGUACGGCCGCAAGGUUGAAACUCAAAUGAAUUGACGGGG
rnacentral:rRNA from 1 species